GCAUCGAAGAGAAAUGUUUUUUGUGGCAAACAUUUUGCUGACCUAACCAAUAAAAAGUCAUAAAUUUGAUUACCCAAUACCCAACCUCAAUUAUCAAUUAAAAAAUAAAUACCAACCCCUGGCCAAAAUUAAAACUAUACAAAAGGAUACCAUUCAAUUGUCACACUUGUCCUUUACCACUUCUGUGACAUGAGUUUGAUAACGGAUUGUGAAAUUUUCUGCACAUGUAGUUUCUCUGGAGACACCAUUUGACUCUUGACAAAUCGGAAAAUGAUCAAGAUAGUGACUCUGAUUGAUUCACAUAUUGUAUUUACAUAUGACUGUUGACAUUGCUUUUUAGUCUCCAAUAUUUAAGUGAGUCAUGCUUUGGAAAUGACAAUAACUUUUAUUACCCAACCCUUGAGUUGUUUUGUUUACACAACCCUUUUUUCUUCGGUACCACACUCCCCCCUCCCCCAUAAAUAAUGACCGGUCCUUUAGUGCUAAACUGCUUCACGCGCCCUCCCUCCCCGAUGGUCGACUUGAAGCAAGUCUACUGGCGCCAUUGAUCUACGGAAAGUAUUCGACACAGUAGAUCAUGCAUGCAUGCAAUCUUAGAGGAAAAAUUAAAAUCGAUUGGAUUAGCUGUACAUCCAUUCUUAAAUGGUUUAAAUCAUAUCUACCGAAUCGUACUCAAGUAAACAUCAUCAUGCAAUAACUCAAGAAAAUGUCACCGCCUAGAUCAGUUACUGUUGGUGUUUGAGUGCAAUACGAUGUUUUACUGGGACGUUUUCUUGGACCUCUUCUCUUCCUAAUUUACAUUAAUGACCUACCUGAAUACCUCAAUCAGUGGCGUAACGCUCAUUGGGUAGGGUUAGUUCAAAAACUAAGGGCCCCGACAGUUAGGGGCCCCAUCAGCCACGGCCUAUCGCUCAGAAAAUU